rnacentral:rRNA from 1 species
UUGAUCUCAAAUCAGGUAGGACUACCCGCUGAACUUAAGCAUAUCAAUAAGCGGAGGAAAAGAAACUAACAAGGAUUCCCCUAGUAACUGCGAGUGAAGCGGGAAGAGCUCAAAUUUAAAAUCUGGUGUGCCUCUGGUCACCCGAGUUGUAGUCUGGAGAAGCGUUUUCUGUGUUGGGCCGUGUAUAAGUCCCUUGGAACAGGGCGUCAUAGAGGGUGAGAAUCCCGUCUUUGACACGGACUGCCAAUGCUUUGUGAUGCGCUCUCAAAGAGUCGAGUUGUUUGGGAAUGCAGCUCAAAAUGGGUGGUAAAUUCCAUCUAAAGCUAAAUAUAGGCGAGAGACCGAUAGCGAACAAGUACCGUGAGGGAAAGAUGAAAAGC